CAGUAGCCGCGGUAAUACGAAGGGGGCUAGCGUUGCUCGGAAUUACUGGGCGUAAAGGGCGCGUAGGCGGACAGUUAAGUCAGAGGUGAAAGCCCAGGGCUCAACCUUGGAACUGCCUUUGAUACUGGCUGUCUAGAGUGCGGGAGAGGUGUGUGGAACUCCGAGUGUAGAGGUGAAAUUCGUAGAUAUUCGGAAGAACACCAGUGGCGAAGGCGACACACUGGCCCGUAACUGACGCUGAGGCGCGAAAGCGUGGGGAGCAAACAGGAUUAGAUACCCCGAGUAGUCCCUGUCUCUUAUA
rnacentral:rRNA from 1 species